rnacentral:rRNA from 1 species
CCUACGGGAGGCAGCAGUGAGGAAUAUUGGUCAAUGGACGAGAGUCUGAACCAGCCAAGUAGCGUGAAGGAUGACUGCCCUAUGGGUUGUAAACUUCUUUUAUAAAGGACUAAAACGAGGCACGUGUGCCUUUUUGAAUGUACUUUAUGAAUAAGGAACGGCUAACUCCGUGCCAGCAGCCGCGGUAAUACGGAGGAUCCGAGCGUUAUCCGGAUUUAUUGGGUUUAAAGGGAGCGUAGAUGGGUUGUUAAGUCAGUUGUGAAAGUUUGCGGCCCAACCGUAAAAUUGCAAUUGAUACUGGCAGUCUUGAGUACAGUUGAGGUAGGCGGAAUUCGUGGUGUAGCGGUGAAAUGCUUAGAUAUCACGAAGAACCCCGAUUGCGAAGGCAGCUUACUAAACUGUGACUGACAUUGAUGCUCGAAAGUGUGGGUAUCAAACAGGAUUAGAUACCCGUGUAGUC